AUUAAAGAAAUAAAUAAAUAAAUGAACUUCUAAUUCAUAAAUUAAUGAAAUAUUCAUUUUUAUUUC
rnacentral:tRNA from 1 species